AAGGCGAGAGCAGUCUUCAAAUAAACCAAUGCAUAACUUUACAUUUACAUGCCUCAUUGUUCUUAAACCCCUAUUUCAGGAUUUUCUCAAAUGGAGGGAACUGAUGUUCAAAUCUAAGUGUGUGUUUCAUGGUUGCAAAGGCAAGGAACGCAAAUGCCACAACAAUUCAAGAACGACCUGCCUACAAUUCAGUCCAAAACUGUGAGAUGAAGAUGGUUUGAUCAUACACCUGAUUCUCCCAUGUGUUGAGGCCAUGGAUGAUGGCAAAGGGAGUUUUUCCUGAAGAGAUUUCAUGGUGAGGAAAAACUCUUGGUCCUACUUAUGACAAUUCUGUGGAAUAGGACGCAGGAUGUCAGAACUCCGUUCCAGAACAACAUGAGAUGUAUUUUAUUUCUCCACACACAGCCUGAAGUGUUACGCUGAACAAAAAUAUAAACGCAACAUGCAACAAUUUCAACAAAUGAACUCAGCAGAACUCAGUGUUUUCAGUUCAUAUAAGGAAAUCAGUCGAUUGAAAUAAAUUCAUUAGGCCCUAAUCUAUGGAUUUCACAUGACUGGAUACGCAUAUGAUAUGCAUACUGUAUGUUGGUCACAGAUACCAAAACAAAAGUAGGGGCAUAGAUCAGAAAACCAGUUAGUAUUUGGUGAAACCACUAUUUGCUGAUUUGUUGAUCAGGCUGUUGGUUGUGGCCUGUUUCCCAAGUUGCUGGAUAUUGGCUGGAACUGGAACUCGCUGUUGUACACGUCGACCCAGAGCAUCCCAAACCGUAGCUUAUGCCUGCUCAUACCAUAACCCUCCCUGUUGACAUCAGCAAACUGCUGGACCACACGACGCCACACACACUGCCAUUUGCCCGGUACAGCUGAAGUUGUGAAAAGCACACUUCUCCCGCAUUCCAGUGACCAUCGAAGGUAAGCAUUUUACCACUGAAGUUGGUUGUGAUGCCGAACUGCAGUCAGGUCAAGACCCUGGGUAGGACGACAUUGAAGCAGAAGAGCUUCCCAGAGACAACUUAUGACAGUUUGUGCAGAAAUUAUUCGAUUUCGUCAGCUGUCCGGGUGGCGGGUCUCACACAAUCCCGCAGUUGGCCCAGAAGUGGAGUUCCUGGGCUGGCGUGGUUACACAUGGUCUGUACAUGUGAGGCCGGUUGGAUGUACU